UACGGGGGGGGCAAGCGUUGUUCGGAAUUACUGGGCGUAAAGGGCCAGUAGGCGGCCAACUAAGUCCGACGUGAAAUCCCCAGGCUUAACCUGGGAACUGCGUCGGAUACUGGAUGGCUUGAAUUCGGGAGAGGGAUGCAGAAUUCCAGGUGUAGCGGUGAAAUGCGUAGAUAUCUGGAGGAAUACCGGUGGCGAAGGCGGCCUUCUGGACAGUGACUGACGCUGAGACGCGAAAGCGUGGGGAGCAAACAGG
rnacentral:rRNA from 1 species